UUAACUGGAAGCUUUGAUCCUGGCUCAGAUUGAACGCUGGCGGCAGGCCUAACACAUGCAAGUCGAGCGGAAACGAUGGUAGCUUGCUACCAGGCGUCGAGCGGCGGACGGGUGAGUAACGCGUAGGAAUCUACCUAGUAGUGGGGGACAACCAGUGGAAACGCUGGCUAAUACCGCAUACGCCCUACGGGGGAAAGGAGGGGAUCUUCGGACCUUUCGCUAUUAGAUGAGCCUGCGUCGGAUUAGCUAGUUGGUGGGGUAAAGGCUCACCAAGGCGACGAUCCGUAGCUGGUCUGAGAGGAUGAUCAGCCACACUGGGACUGAGACACGGCCAGACUCCUACGGGAGGGAGCAGNGGGGAAUAUUGGACAAUGGGCGCAAGCCUGAUCCAGCCAUGCCGNGUGUGUGAAGAAGGCCUUCGGGUUGUNAAGCACUUUCAGCCGAGGAGGAAAGGUUGUAAGUUAAUACCUUGCAACUGUGACGUUACUCGCAGAAGAAGCACCGGCUAACUUCCGUGCCAGCAGCCGCGGUAAUACCGGAGGGUGCAAGCGUUAAUCGGAAA
rnacentral:rRNA from 1 species